GAAAACGACUGCUAAGACUGGAUAGGAAAUUAAGAGGCAUCUUUUAAUUUUUAAAAGACCUUUUUCGAAAGGUAUGCUUAAAGAGGGGCUUGCGCCACAUUAGUUAGUUGGUAAGGUAAAGGCUUACCAAGACGAUGAUGUGUAGCUGGACUGAGAGGUUGAACAGCCACAUUGGGACUGAGACACGGCCCAAACUCCUACGGGAGGCAGCAGUAAGGAAUUUUUGGCAAUGGAGGAAACUCUGACCGAGCGACGCCGCGUGAACAAUGAAGUACUUCGGUAUGUAAAGUUCUUUUAUUGGAAAAGAAAAAAUAGUGGAAAAACUAUCUUGACAUUAUUCAAUGAAUAAGCCCCGGCUAAUUAUGUGCCAGCAGCCGCGGUAAUACAUAAGGGGCGAGCGUUAUCCGGAAUUAUUGGGCGUAAAGGGUGCGUAGGCGGUUUGAUAAGUCUAUAGUUUAAAUGCAGCGCUUAACGCUGUAGCGCUAUAGAAACUGUCUGACUAGAGUUAGAUAGAGGCAAGCGGAAUUCCAUGUGUAGCGGUAAAAUGCGUAAAUAUAUGGAGGAACACCAGAGGCGUAGGCGGCUUGCUGGGUCUUAACUGACGCUGAGGCACGAAAGCGUGGGGAGCAAACAGGAUUAGAUACCCUGGUAGUCCACGCCGUAAACGAUGAGUACUAAGUGUCGGGUUUCGGCUCGGUACUGAAGUUAACACAUUAAGUACUCCGCCUGAGUAGUACGUACGCAAGUAUGAAACUUAAAGGAAUUGACGGGACCCCGCACAAGCGGUGGAUCAUGUUGUUUAAUUCGAAGAUACACGAAAAACCUUACCAGGUCUUGACAUAAUUUUGCGACAUUAUAGAAAUAUAAUGAAGGUUAUCAGAAUUACAGGUGGUGCAUGGUUGUCGUCAGCUCGUGUCGUGAGAUGUUAGGUUAAGUCCUAAAACGAGCGCAACCCUUGUCGUUAGUUGCGACCACGUAAUGGUGAGCACUUUAGCGAGACUGCCAAUGAAAAAUUGGAGGAAGGUGAGGAUUACGUCAAAUCAUCAUGCCCCUUAUGAUCUGGGCUACAAACGUGAUACAAUGGCUGUUACAAAGAGUAGCUACAACGUGAGUUUUUAGCCAAUCUCAAAAAAACAGUCUCAGUUCGGAUUGAAGUCUGCAACUCGACUUCAUGAAGUUGGAAUCGCUAGUAAUCGCGAAUCAGCAUGUCGCGGUGAAUACGUUCUCGGGGUUUGUACACACCGCCCGUCAA
rnacentral:rRNA from 1 species